rnacentral:lncRNA from 1 species
CAGGAAGUAAGAACUUGUGAGAGCGCCGACACUCUUAAAAUGGCACCUUUAGAAUAUUGACUGUAUUUAUAUGAGAGAGCAGGCGGCUGAAGGCCAAUGGAAGAGGCACAUGGCCCCCUAUUACCUGUGUGGUGAUCCAUCUUCAUAACCUAAAGUAGUGUGGUAAAGUAGUGUGGUAAAGUAGUGUAUUAAGGUAGUGUGGUAAAGUAGUGUAGUAAUGUGUUGUAGUAAUGUAGUGUAGUAAAGUAGUGUAGUGUAGUAAUGUUGUGUAGUAAAGCAAUGUAGUGUGGUAAAGUAGUGUAGUAAUGCAGUGUAGUGUAGUAAUGUAGUGUAGUAAAGUAAAGUAGUGUGGUAAAGUAGUGUAGUAGUG